CUUCACGAGACGCCGUCGACAAGCUCCGACUGGAUGGCGCGCCAACCCCACGCUCGUGGGUGGCUCGGAUGACGAAGCGGCCUGCACCACCCGGUGCGGGUAAGAGCGCCUC
rnacentral:ncRNA from 20 species